rnacentral:rRNA from 1 species
AUUGAACGCUGGCGGCAGGCCUAACACAUGCAAGUCGAACGAGUGGCGGACGGGUGAGUAAUGUCUGGGAAACUGCCUGAUGGAGGGGGAUAACUACUGGAAACGGUAGCUAAUACCGCAUACCCUCAGAUGUGCCCAGAUGGGAUUAGCUGGUUGGUGGGGUAACGGCUCACCAAGGCGACGAUCCCUAGCUGGUCUGAGAGGAUGACCAGCAACACGGGAACUGAGCCACGGUCCAGACUCCUAGGGGAGGCAGCAGGGGGAAAUAUUGCACAAGGGGGGCAAGCCGGAUGCAGCCAGGCCGCGUGUAUGAAGAGGGCCUUCGGGUUGAAAAGUACUUUCAGCGGGGAGGCGUUACCCGCAGAAGAAGCCACGGCUAACUCCGUGCCAGCAGCCGCGGUAAUAC